UGGGGAAUCUUGGACAAUGGGGGCAACCCUGAUCCAGCCAUGCCGCGUGAGUGAUGAAGGCCUUAGGGUCGUAAAGCUCUUUCGCCUGUGAAGAUAAUGACGGUAGCAGGUAAAGAAACCCCGGCUAACUCCGUGCCAGCAGCCGCGGUAAUACGGAGGGGGUUAGCGUUGUUCGGAAUUACUGGGCGUAAAGCGCACGUAGGCGGACCAGAAAGUUGGGGGUGAAAUCCCGGGGGCUCAACCCCGGAACUGCCUCCAAAACUAUUGGUCUAGAGUUCGAGAGAGGUGAGUGGAAUUCCAAGUGUAGAGGUGAAAUUCGUAGAUAUUUGGAGGAACACCAGUGGCGAAGGCGGCUCACUGGCUCGAUACUGACGCUGAGGUGCGAAAGUGUGGGGAGCAAACAGGAUUAGAUACCCUGGUAGUCCACACCGUAAAACGAUGAAUGCCAGUCGUCGGGUAGCAUGCUAUUCGGUGACACACCUAACGGAUUAAGCAUUCCGCCUGGGGAGUACGGUCGCAAGAUUAAAACUCAAAAUGAAUU
rnacentral:rRNA from 1 species